CAGACCACGCUUGGCCAGAUCUCACAGCACGCGAUCAUCAAAUGUAGCUUGCUUCAGAUGGCCAGUGUCCUUGCUGGAGGCCAACAGAGAAUUAGAAACUAAAUACCAAGGAGAGAGCUGCGGUGCUCCAUCGGGGACUGAGCAGAGCAGAACAUAUGUGGGAGAAGGCAUGCCCCAGGGCUCACUGGGGCACAGAGGAAAAUGAAGAACAUGGGAAAGGGUUUUCCCUCUGAGCUAGGUUGGUCAAGGAUAAAGGAGAUGAUCAUUGUCAGUGUCCUGGGAGAGGAGUUAAGGGCAGCAAUGAGGGUAACAAGAAGGGUCUGAGACUCAGAAUCAUUGUUUGGGUUCUUCUGUAUCAAGGGGAAAAAUCGAGGGCAGAAACUCAAAGGCGAGAAAGUAAAAUAUAUACAAAAGAGGCUGAGCGGAUGGGGAAGGGGAAAUAUUAGGGGUAAUAGCAGCAAAAGGAGUGACUGAGAGCAAGUAGUUAAGAAUCAGGACAAACUGGGGACUGGAAGGAGAGAAUAAAACUGAAGAGUGACAAUCAAGUGACAGGAGAUCGAAAGAGC